rnacentral:rRNA from 1 species
GACGUAGGGCGCGAGCGUUGUCCGGAUUUAUUGGGCGUAAAGAGCUCGUAGGCGGCUUGUCGCGUCGACUGUGAAAACCCGCGGCUCAACUGCGGGCCUGCAGCCGAUACGGGCAGGCUAGAGUUCGGUAGGGGAGACUGGAAUUCCUGGUGUAGCGGUGAAAUGCGCAGAUAUCAGGAAGAACACCAAUGGCGAAGGCAGCUCUCUGGGACGGUACUGACGCUGAGGAGCGAAAGCGUGGGGAGCGAACAGG